UUAAAAAAUAUUAUAUCUAUAUAGAUUAAUCUAGAUUUGGCAAGUACUCCUCGUUAGCAUUUUUUUCGUCCAGAAAAUUUGAGAAGUUGCCUAUUCACCUUCAUCACAAUUUCCAAACUCCACUUUGGAACAAAAAAUAGCUGCUGAAAGGCCCUGCCUAAUGAACUAUUGACCUGUGGAUGUUCUGCUAGAGUCCUUGAUCUCAGCCACGGCUCAAUACAGCGUCUUCCUGCCACAAAUAAUAACUUGAGUUCUCUUUAGCAUAGCAACAUUGCCCAAAAGAAAUCGGCACUUGGACCAGUAUGAGACAACUUCAUAUUGCACUUAACUAUUUAACACGUCUCCCAUCUGAGGCAGGUGUGCUUCUCUUAUUGCGGUAAAGAAAUUGGGCUUAUUUCUAUUUUAUUAACUGGAAUCAAGAAAUCCAAAUUCAUCCUAUCAUUGUUCUGAUGAGAAAGGUUAAGAAUUCAAAAACUGAACGUGAGUUGACUGAUUAAUGCUAGAAUAUAUGAAAGCAUGCUGUAAUAAAGAAGAUUUCAAAGUUUAAAGAUAGUAAUAAGUUAUGGAAAGACCUCGGUUUUGUUUUGCCACUUAUCAUGGUGGAUUUGCCGGAAGAGGUUAUGAUGCCUAUUGCUCCCGGUGAAGAACCACUUGAUUUGAUUGUAUGUCUAGCUUAAGAGCUUGCAAGACACUGAGGCCUUUGAUGUAUAUUGAUGGAGUUGAUAUGAAGCCCCAAAUUGAAAUUGUGAAGAAGAGAGUGUACAUUGUCGUUGUUAAACCAAGAAGGCUCAAAUAUAUGCUAGCAAAGAAAUGAAUGAACCUUGAAAAUUGCAGGGUGAAUUGUUCAAGAAAGGAUGCACAACAAAAAUGAUUCUAUGGGUCGUGGAUUAUCCAACCAUACCAGGUAUAUGCAGAUUGUGGUAAGGAUUUAAAGUAUAGAAGUCGUUUAAGAAGAAAUCAUUGGUUACAUUAACAUUUCAAGGUUUCUGUAGACAACGGUAAGGGCCGUUAGAGUUGUAGUGGUAUACGGAGGAAUCAGUGGUUACAACGGAAGAUGAAUUGAAUUUAUAGAUGAAGGGGAUGAAAAAUAAGGGCAUUUAACAAUUGAGGAUAAGAUUAAUGAUAGUUGUGAAAUAGGUAGGAUUCCGUUGAGCAGUGGAUAAAUGGAUAAAUAAGAUGUUGAUAAAAGAGUUAUAAUAUACCUUGGUAACUUAUUGAAUAAAAAGAGUUAACUCUAUAAAUUAUUUUUUAUAUUUGCUACGUUAGUACUUAUGGAAUAAAAAGAGUACACUAUAUAAAUUAGUUAAUAUUUUUGAUACCUUAGUUUUACGAUAUUUUUUUUACAAUUACAAAUACAACUUAAAAGAAUGUAAAUUUUUUAUGUUAUAACUGUAUGUAAAUUUUUGAUG